UACGUAGGGGGCAAGCGUUGUCCGGAAUUAUUGGGCGUAAAGAGCGUGUAGGCGGUCCGGUAAGUCAGCUGUGAAAGUCAAGGGCUCAACCCUUGAAUGCCGGUUGAUACUGUCGGGCUAGAGUCCGGAAGAGGCGAGUGGAAUCCCGGUGUAGCGGUGAAAUGCGCAGAUAUCGGGAGGAACACCAAUGGCGAAGGCAAGCUCGCUGGGACGGUACUGACGCUGAGAC
rnacentral:rRNA from 1 species